CCUGGAAGACAAUUGAAAUGGAUUUCUCUUGAGAUUUUUUUUUUUGGGCACUCGAAUUGAUUAAUUCUUCAAAGUGUUUUUCUCAAGUACUCCUACCAUUUUUUGACGUCGAUUGAGGGCUUCCAGUUUUAGUCUUUCAUGCUCUGUCUUCCUUCCUUAUCUAUUGAGCUACCGGAAGAAAAAUAAAAAGGUGAAUCAAGACUUGCUGAAGCGUUGAUCCGUCCAUUCUCUCAAUAUUCGGACGUCGUUAGAGAUGCUUCCGCUGAUUAACUUAAUAAGAGAGAGAGAGAGAGAGAGAGAGAGAGAGAGAGAGAGAGAGAGAGAGAGAGAGAGUUGUGAAUUGCGUGUAUAUAGAUUGAGGUUGAGGCUUGAGGAUUUGAAAAGGUAGGUUUACAUAGGAAAUUUAUAACAAUUAAGGGCUUUGAUGGUGGAGAAGGGACGUUAUGGUAGAGAUUCGGAACAACAUGAGGUAGGCUUUGAAGAUGAUGAAGGCGGAAAGACGGUGAGUAGUUUAAUUGGGCCACAAAUUAGGUUUCGUUGUAGUCUGUUGGUCUUAAAUCUGGGCAUUUUCUAAUGGAUUACAUUUGUUGAGUGACACGGAAGUAGCUGACAUGUAAGUCUGAUUGGAUGUGAAUAUUUGUGCUUAUGUGGCAUAGCUUAGAAACCUUGAAAUUAGUUACUUUUAUAUAGUAGGAUGGUUUAAAAGUAUUUUUUGUUUCACUAUAUAAAUUGUUUUUAUAUUUCAGUGUAACUUUAUAUUUAUUAGAUAUUGUGUAGCCAAUUAAAUUAUGUAAAUUACUGUGUAAUUGAUUAAAUUUAUAUAUUAAAUGACAGAUUUCUAAAGUAAUAACUUUUAAAUAUUACAUAUUUUAAUUAAAAUUGAUUACAUUUUGAAACAGAUAGAGUAAUCUAUAAACUAACUCUAUAUAGAUAUGAGGACAAAAUUGUAAACUGGUCUCAUCUUGAAUUUCUCACAUUCUGUGCAUUCCUAAUUGGGAGGAGAUAAUCAACAUCUAAUUUUAUGUUACUCUCAGUAUAUUAGAAAUAGUCGAACCGUAAACCAAUUAAGGAUGAUGUAAG